UACGGAGGAUGCGAGCGUUAUCCGGAUUUAUUGGGUUUAAAGGGUGCGUAGGCGGGCUUUUAAGUCAGCGGUAAAAAUUCGGGGCUCAACCCCGUCCGGCCGUUGAAACUGGGGGUCUUGAGUGGGCGAGUAGAAGGCGGAAUGCGUGGUGUAGCGGUGAAAUGCAUAGAUAUCACGCAGAACCCCGAUUGCGAAGGCAGCCUUCCGGCGCCCUACUGACGCUGAGGCACGAAAGUGCGGGGAUCGAACAGG
rnacentral:rRNA from 1 species